GCGCGGGUGGCGUAAUGGUAGCCGCACUACCUUGAGGUGGUAGCGUCCGCAAGGGCAUGGAAGUUCGACUCUUCUCCCGCGCA
rnacentral:tRNA from 1 species